GUUGGUGUAUCUCAGUGGUAGAGUGCAUGCUCUGUAUGUAUGAUAUCCUGGGUUCAAUCCCCAGCUUUUUCC
rnacentral:tRNA from 1 species